AUUGACUCUUCCACAUCAAGUUACCGGAAGUUAUAAAGUGGCCAUCUUGUUGAUUCUUUCUCCUACCGAAGUACUUUCAAUUACUAAGACGCAGUGUGGAGUUUUUAGCUGUAGCCUGAUACUAAUAUAAAAAUAACAGUGUGUAUGUGGCAUGGAACUGUAACUACAGGCUAAGACUAACUCUGCGUCAUUCUACUGCUUUCUAUGUAUACUACCCGAACUGUUGAAAAAAUGAAUAUAAAUAUCCGGAGAUGCAAGAUACCCAACAAAAGCCUCCAGAUUGUGUUCUGAACAUUUUGAAGAAGAACGCUUUGCUAAAACAGCUCAAAAUGUUCUGCAUUUUCAUUUUCUGAGUACCUAGAAAAGUUUGCCAAAAAAGAGGAGUUCAAUAAGAAAGUUCAUCAAUUCAAGCACACCUGGUCCCAGUUCCAGUUACUUCAAAUGUAAAACAUCACUGCUGAAGAUGAUCUACUAAGUGACAGUCCUGCAGAAAAAAAAUGGACAGAACAUUUGAGUACGGCUUGGAAAAAAUUUAAGUUACCACAACAAAAGAACAGGCGUGCAUUUGAAACAAGCCUUUAUUCUAUUAAACCUACUCCUGGAAGCUAAGAAGAAAAAAUUAAUAUGCACCAAUUAUUUUAAUACGCUGAACAGCAUCUUUCCUGAUACCCAUUAGAAAUCUUUAAAAGAGCAUUGAUUCUUGAUUGAAGAAAAAAAAUUAUUUGCAAAGCAUAUCCUCCAUUUUUACGGUCUUGACACAGCAGUUUUGCUUCACUUAAGCAACGAUUUUGUAAGACGUAUUUUCAGUCUUGCUCUACAACAUUCAUAUUUGUCUGGUGGCAAAAAUUAAAAUAAGGAACCAGUAGAGAGAUUUGUACUUUAAUACUAGCUGAAAUGACCAUAAGAUAGCAUGUGGAGUGGGAUGCAAAGGAAUUUCUUGACUAUGUUGAUGUUGGUGCAGACACAGAAGACGACAUAAUUCCUUUUGCCAGCGAUGUAUUGGUGUUUAAGGUUGUUUCUCUAAACAGCAACUAGAAAGUGCCUGUUAUCUGUUUCUUUUUAAUGACAUGACAGGAUAAUAAUGAGAACUUGGUGAACAUAUGCCUACAGAAACUGUCAGAUGUUUAGAUUACAAGCGUGGUACUUGUUUUUGAUGGUCAAAGUUUCCACCUCUCCAUGUUGAAAGAAUUGGAUGCCAAUAUGUCUUCAGAAAUUUUACAGUCAUGAUUUUUUUUAUCCUAGCAAUUAAAAAUGCUAAAUUUAUAUAAUAUUUCAUAUAUGCCACGUGCUAACUCUCAUUAGAAAUGUUUUCACAUAAGAAAUUUUUAAAAAGUUGAGAUGGUGAAUAUAUUAAUGGGCAGUUCAUUGCUGAUUUGCACAAAUUGUAAGAACAAGAAGGCUUAUACCUAGGAAAUAAAUAAGGAACAAUGCAUAUUCAAUGGCAGAAGCAAGAAACGAAAGUUAACUUUUGUAACACCAGCUUUAAGUUCAAGAUGACAUAAAACUUUUCAACAAAUACUUGAACCAACUUAUGUUUAAGGCCCAUUGUUAACUUUAUAAUAACAUUUUAUAGACUUUUGGAUAUUCUCAGCUCCAGAAAUCCAUUGGCUAAAAGUUACAAUAAAGCUUUUCUAGUAGAAACAGAACAUUUUAUUUUUCAACCAACAGAAUCACUGGGUUUCUAAAGUAUGCAUUUCGACGUGUUGGGUUUCUAACUGCAAUCAAGUCUGUGCAAUAAUUGUACGAAACUUUAGUGUCAUCAUCUCUACCCUCUCCCAUGAAAUAUAUAAACCAGGAUCACUUGAAAUUAUUAUUAUUAUUUUGCUGUUGUUAGGUCAUCCUGUAUUUGUAAUAACAAGCUUAAUAACAGUUCACAGUUGCAUAUAAAAGAAUGCUCAUGCAUCAUGAAAGCAGAAGAAAUUGCACACGAUAAACGUCAAUUUUACAUGUUACAAAAAAUCAUGUGACACUUCCUUGUGGUUCUGUAGAUGCGUUAGACACGUGUGUGGUACACAGCUAUAUCUUGAAGUACGAGUGCCUAUACAGGGUGACCAUCAUUACUUAAGGAAGCAACCAUAGGAUACACGGUUGGUUCAGUGGUCAAAAUGGCCCAAAAAAUGAUGCAUUGUACAGAUUGUUUGGAAGCCUUAACAAGUGAAAAUUCUAGAGAGUUGUCAAUUUUAUAACAAAGAAAAAUUAGAGAUGGAAUCAGCAACUAUGUCAAGCAACAAAAAGUUGUUCUGAGAGACUCCUGAAUUCAACAAAUGGCGAAUUUUCUCAAAUAAUUAGCCUUAGAAUACAGGUUGCUGUUUUGAAAGAAGUAGCCUUUAGUGGACUUUUCUUCUGCUUUAGAUGAAUACAUAUUUAACUGUACACCAGAAAAUAAUCAUGUUUACACGUUGCUAAGCGAUAUUGUGGAAAAGUUUAUUUUACCUAAACAGCAGUAGUUACAAAUUGUUAUAGAGUAUUAAAUUGUUUGUACAACACCCAAGGUGCAUACAGUGCUGUCUUACAAAAUAUCAAAUGCAUAAAACACAUUUAUCAACUAAUUAUAUAUUAUAACUGGUAAUAUUAAAUAUAAAAAGUUAUAUAAAUACCGAAGCGUAGCAUCAUUCAGUAGUACAUGUACUUUUUUAGUUACUUCUGUAAUAUAUGGUAUUCAGACUAACACUGUUAUGAUAAACAAUCAACUAUAGCAUCUAAAUAGGUUUGUAUUAUUUCGAUAUUAAUGUUUAUACAGUACUUUCUACUUUAUCACAGACUUACAUAAGAAUCUACUUAAAUUUGUAAUUUUAUUAUUAAUAAUUCAGCAGACCACAAUAAAACCAAUUUAGACCA
rnacentral:lncRNA from 1 species